GCAGACCUACGGGGGGCAGCAGUGAGGAAUAUUGGUCAAUGGGAGAGAUCCUGAACCAGCCAAGCCGCGUGAGGGAAGACGGCCCUAUGGGUUGUAAACCUCUUUUGUCGGAGAACAAAACCCGGGACGUGUCCCGGACUGCGUGUAUCCGAAGAAAAAGCAUCGGCUAACUCCGUGCCAGCAGCCGCGGUAAUACGGAGGAUGCGAGCGUUAUCCGGAUUCAUUGGGUUUAAAGGGUGCGCAGGCGGGCCUUUAAGCCGGCGGUGAAAUCCCGGGG
rnacentral:rRNA from 1 species